rnacentral:rRNA from 1 species
UAAAGUGAUUUAAAGAGUAUUUUGUGGAUGUCUUGGUAUUAAUAGGAUAAAGGACGUUAAUAUAUAUUAACGAAACGAUCUGACGAUUUCAACAUGAAAUAAGAAUCAGAUAUUUCCGAAUGGGAAACCAUAUAAUUACAUUUAUAAAAAUGUAAUAAAUACUCAGUGAACUGAAACAUCUAACUAACUGAAGGAAAAAAAAUCAACCGAGAUUCCAUUAGUAGUGGCGAGCGAAUGUGGAUUAUAAGACAAAAAAAAUAUAAUAAAAUAGAAAAGAUUUAAAAAUCUUACCAAAGAGGGUGAAAGUCCCGUAUAAUAAUAAAAAAAUUAUAUUUUAAAAAAAGUAAAACAAAACACAUAUAAUUUUGUUUGAAUAUAGGUGGACCACCAUCUAAGUCUAAAUACUAAUUAAUAACCAAUAGUGAACAAGUACCGUGAGGGAAAGAUGAAAAGAACCAAUUAGGAGUGAAAUAGAUCCUGAAGCAGAAUACUUAUAAGCAGUCAGAGCAAUUAUAAUUGUGAUGGCGUACCUUUUGCAUAAUGGGUCAGUAAGUUUAUUUAUUUAGCAAGCUUAAGUUGUUAAACGUAGGCAUAGUGAACGCGAAUAUUAAAUGUAUGAUUAGUUAAAUAAAUAAGACCCGAAAUCAAGUGAUCUAACCAUGGGCAGGUUGAAGAUAUUUUAAAAAAUAUUGGAGGACCGAACACGUAUCUGUUGCAAAAGAUUGUGAUGAUCUGUGGUUAGGGGUGAAAGGCUAAUCAAACUUGAAGAUAGCUGGUUUUCCAUGAAAUUUAUUUAGGUAAAGCAUUGUAUUUAAGAUAUUUAGGGUAGAGCACUCGAUAAACUAGGGGAAUUUUUAAUUUUACCAAAUUUAACGAAACUCAUAAUAUAAAUAUUAUAUAUACAAUAGACAGAUAGUGAGCGCGAAGGUUCAUAAUCAAAAGGGAAACAGCCCAGAUCAUUAGUUAAGGUCCAAAAAUAAAUAUUCAGUGCGUAAAGGAUAUCAUAAAGUAAAGACAACCAAAAGAUGGGCUUGGAAGCAGCCAUUCCUUAAAGAAAGCGUAACAGCUCAUUGGUCGAAACAGUAUGGUACCGAAAAUGUAUAUGGACUAAAGUAUUUUACCGAAACUAUGAAUUUUUAAAUGGUAAUGGAACGUUCUGUAAUUAGAUAAAGUAAUAUUGUAAAAUAUUAUGAAUAUAUCAGAAUUGAUAAUGCUGACAUGAGUAACAUUAAACAAUUAAACAUUGUCACCGGAAGUCCAAGGUUUUCUUAGCAUUAAUAAAUAGCUAAGAGUUAGUCGGCCCUUAAGACAAAUGCGAAAGCAGUAGUUGAUAGGCAUAUUUUAAAAAGUAAAAACUAUUGUAAAAGUUACAAGUUUUUAUGAUUUUUUUAAUAUUAUUGAAUUUAUUAAUAAAGAUAUAAAAACUUCAAGAAAAAACAUUCAAUAUAAACCGUACCUAAACCAACACAGGUGGACUAGUAGAGUAUACUAAGGUGAUUGAGAUAAUAAUAUUGAAGGAACUCGGCAAAUUGCCUCCGUAACUUCGGGAGAAGGAGUACCAAUUAGUUGGUGUCACAAAACAAAGGGUAGCAACUGUUUAACAAAAACACAGGACUCUGCAAAAUCGUAAGAUGAUGUAUAGGGUCUGACGCCUGUCAGGUGCUUGGAAAUAAGAGGAGAAGUAUCUGCUUCGAAUUAAAAAACAAGUAAACGACGGCCGUAACCAUAACGGUCCUAAGGUAGCGAAAUUCCUUGUCGGGUAAGUUCC